rnacentral:tRNA from 1 species
GGCCACGUAGCUCAGUUGGCUAGAGCGUUGUCUGUACUAAGGCCUUCCGCUUGCUGUCGUGGGUUCAACUCCCCCACCAAGGCCA